rnacentral:rRNA from 1 species
AGAGCUAACCCGUCUCUGUUGCAAAAGAGUGGGAAAAUUUUUAAGUAGAGGUGAUAGACCUAUCGAACUUAGAGAUAGCUGGUUUUUUAAGAAAAGAAUUUUAGUUCUGCUUUAAAUUUUCCUAUUAUAUAAAAAUACACAUAAAUUUAAAAGUUACUCAAAUAAGGCACAGCUUAUUUGAAACAGGAUACAACCUAAAACCCUGGGUAAGACAGAUAAAACUUUAACAAGUGGGCCUAAGAUCAGCCACCUUUAAAAAAGCGUCAAAGCUUAGUAACAAUAAUAUCUUUAAUUCCAAUAUUUUAUUCUAACCCUUAUACACUAUUAAAAAACUCCAUAAAACUAUGGAAGCUAUUAUGCUAGAACAAGUAACAAGAAAAAGACUUUCUCCAAAAUGUAAGCUUAAGCCAUAAUAGACUCACUACUGGCAAUUAACGUUUAUAAACUUACUGUAAUAACACCAGCAAGAAAAAUUUACACCAUCCAACGUUAAUCUUACACAAGCACAU